CAUAGGUUAAUGAGGCGAACCGGGGGAACUGAAACAUCUAAGUACCCCGAGGAAAAGAAAUCAACCGAGAUUCCCCCAGUAGCGGCGAGCGAACGGGGAGCAGCCCAGAGCCUGAAUCAGUGUGUGUGUUAGUGGAAGCGUCUGGAAAGGCGCGCGAUACAGGGUGACAGCCCCGUACACAAAAAUGCACAUACUGUGAGCUCGAUGAGUAGGGCGGGACACGUGGUAUCCUGUCUGAAUAUGGGGGGACCAUCCUCCAAGGCUAAAUACUCCUGACUGACCGAUAGUGAACCAGUACCGUGAGGGAAAGGCGAAAAGAACCCCGGCGAGGGGAGUGAAAAAGAACCUGAAACCGUGUACGUACAAGCAGUGGGAGCACGCUUAGGCGUGUGACUGCGUACCUUUUGUAUAAUGGGUCAGCGACUUAUAUUCUGUAGCAAGGUUAACCGAAUAGGGGAGCCGAAGGGAAACCGAGUCUUAACUGGGCGUUAAGUUGCAGGGUAUAGACCCGAAACCCGGUGAUCUAGCCAUGGGCAGGUUGAAGGUUGGGUAACACUAACUGGAGGACCGAACCGACUAAUGUUGAAAAAUUAGCGGAUGACUUGUGGCUGGGGGUGAAAGGCCAAUCAAACCGGGAGAUAGCUGGUUCUCCCCGAAAGCUAUUUAGGUAGCGCCUCGUGAAUUCAUCUCCGGGGGUAGAGCACUGUUUCGGCAAGGGGGUCAUCCCGACUUACCAACCCGAUGCAAACUGCGAAUACCGGAGAAUGUUAUCACGGGAGACACACGGCGGGUGCUAACGUCCGUCGUGAAGAGGGAAACAACCCAGACCGCCAGCUAAGGUCCCAAAGUCAUGGUUAAGUGGGAAACGAUGUGGGAAGGCCCAGACAGCCAGGAUGUUGGCUUAGAAGCAGCCAUCAUUUAAAGAAAGCGUAAUAGCUCACUGGUCGAGUCGGCCUGCGCGGAAGAUGUAACGGGGCUAAACCAUGCACCGAAGCUGCGGCAGCGACGCUGAUGCGUUGUUGGGUAGGGGAGCGUUCUGUAAGCCUGCGAAGGUGUGCUGUGAGGCAUGCUGGAGGUAUCAGAAGUGCGAAUGCUGACAUAAGUAACGAUAAAGCGGGUGAAAAGCCCGCUCGCCGGAAGACCAAGGGUUCCUGUCCAACGUUAAUCGGGGCAGGGUGAGUCGACCCCUAAGGCGAGGCCGAAAGGCGUAGUCGAUGGGAAACAGGUUAAUAUUCCUGUACUUGGUGUUACUGCGAAGGGGGGACGG
rnacentral:rRNA from 1 species